GUAAGUCUAUUCUUUCUCAGAUUCUAUGAUACAAAUUGUUCUGUGUUUGAAACUUUCUUAAGUUGGUAGUAUUUCAUUAAUUGGAACCUUUUCUACUUCACAUUGUUAAGAGUUUACAAUCUGUACACAGCUACUGCACGUGUAAGUUUUAGAAAUCUAGACUUUUAAUUGGAAUAUAAAUUAGAAUGUAAUUUUGCAAGCCACUACCUAACAAAUGUUUUUUUAUUUUCCACCAGAAAUGUAUGAAACCAACUCUAAAUAAAAUAAAAUUAUAUAGUUUAAAAAAUUAUAUACACAUAUAUAUAGUUAAUUUAAUCAUACUAUUCUUCAAAACAUGGGGAGUAUAUAAAGAGACAUUCUUUAGCAUAAAAUAAAAUAGAAAAUAACUUUCUUAAUUCCUUUAAAUUAAUCUUAUUGAGAAAGAAUCUCGCUCCAACUUGAUUAGGCACAUUACCGGGCAUUUUGACUAUAUUAAUACUACUAUUUUAGUUUGAUGCUCUUAGUUUUUGUUUCUUUGGAUGAAAGUUUAACACUUUUGUAGGGCACGCUAUGGUUGGCAAUGAAAAUCAAGAAGAAAAUAGCCCAAUGCCUAACCUGCAACACCCGUGUCGGAUAAAUUCAACUCAAACUGAGGGAAACAGUAAGGCUUGAGGUUCUUUUUUUUUGCUCUUUUUUAAGAGAAUGUAAGGAGAUGCAUGUUCCAUCUACAUAUUUAUACAUCAAAAUAAGUGAAUGUUAACAAUUAGUAUAUUGCUUGAGCCCUAGUAUGAAAGGUGCAUGCCCGCACCCUUAGGCUGGUAAACCAGCCUCCUCCUUUUCUGCUUGUAUACUGAAUGGUUCAAAUCAUUAUGUUUCCUCCUUAUUUUCAGGUUUGGAUAUGAUUGGGGGACGAUCACAGCUUCCAAUUACAACUACAGAACCAUCUAUCAGUGUAAGUAAUUGAAAGCUAGGCUAAAGUUUAUAUGUAGGGCACACAACCCUUACUAUAUCAUGACAACAGGUUUUGAUACACAUAGUUAAUCGUAAUAAUCGUAAAGGAGCGUGCUUAAGGUGGCUCCAGGGCUUUAUUUUACUUCCACUCCAUAAUGCGGCACACUAAUUCUAUUUGUCACAUGUUUGUUGUUUUGUCCAGCUACAGGCUUUGAUACAACCAUACCUUGAUCCUGCUAUGACAAGGAUGCCCCAAGCUAUUUGCAGACAAAACGGUAUGACACUUCUGUUCAUUGGAUGGUGAUCCUAUUUUGAUUCCUACAAGUGAUGGGUUAAGUGGGUAGCUUGUUCUGUGUUUGAAACUUUUUUAAGUUGGUAGUAUUUCAUUAAUUGGAACCUUUUCUACUUCACAUUGUUAAGAGUUUACAAUCUGUACACAGCUACCGCACGUGUAAGUUUUAGAAAUCUAAACUUUUAAUUGGAAUAUAAAUUAGAAUGUAAUUUUGCGAAGCCGCUACCUAAAAAAUGUUUUUUUAUUUUUCACCAGAAAUGUAUGAAACCAACUCUAAAUAAAAUAAAAUUAUAUAGUUUAAAAAAUUAUAUACACAUAUAUAUAGUUAAUUUAAUCAUACUAUUCUUCAAAACUUGGGGAGUAUAUAAUGAGACAUAUUCUUUACCGUAAAAUAAAAUAGAAAAUAACUUUCUUAAUUCCUUUAAAUUAAUCUUAUUGAGAAAGAAUCUCGCUCCAACUUGAUUAGGCACAUUACCGGACAUUUUGACUAUAUUAAUACUACUAUUUUAGUUUGAUGCUCUUAGUUUUUGUUUCUUUGGAUGAAAGUUUAACACUUUUGUAGGGCAAGCUAUGGUUGGCAAUGAAAAUCAAGAAGAAAAUAGCCCAAUGCCUAACCUGCAACACCCGUGUCGGAUAAAUUCAACUCAAACUGAGGGAAACAGUAAGGCUUGAGGUUCUUUUUUUUUUUUGCUCUUUUUUAAGAGAAUGUAAGGAGAUGCAUGUUCCACCUACAUAUUUAUACAUCAAAAUAAGGGAAUGUUAACAAUUAGUAUAUUGCUUGAGCCCUAGUACGAAAGGUGCAUGCCCGCACCCUUAGGCCUUAGCAGCCUGCCUGUAAACCAGCCUCCUCCUUUUCUGCUUGUAUACUGAAUGGUUCAAAUCAUUAUGUUUCCUCCUCAUUUUCAGGU
rnacentral:lncRNA from 1 species